GGGCCCGCACAAGCGGUGGAGCAUGUGGUUUAAUUCGACGCAACGCGAAGAACCUUACCUACACUUGACAUGUUCGUCGCGACUCUAAGAGAUUAGAGUUUUCGGUUCGGCCGGACGAAACACAGGUGCUGCAUGGCUGUCGUCAGCUCGUGUCGUGAGAUGUUGGGUUAAGUCCCGCAACGAGCGCAACCCUCACUUUUAGUUGCCAUCAUUAAGUUGGGCACUCUGAAAGAACUGCCAGUGAUAAGCUGGAGGAAGGUGGGGAUGACGUCAAGUCCUCAUGGCCCUUACGUGUUGGGCUACACACGUGCUACAAUGGUAUCUACAACAGGAAGCAAGACUGCGAAGUUAAGCAAAUCCCUAAAAGAUACCUCAGUUCGGAUUGCACUCUGCAACUCGAGUGCAUGAAGCUGGAAUU
rnacentral:rRNA from 1 species